CACGGGAAAGUGAUUAAAAGGGAAUCAGGUGUAAGUCCUGAACAGUCCCGCUGCUGUAAGUUCCAUUACGCGUGUUGCAGGCAAAUACUCAAUGCCACUGAACAAUCGGGUUCGGGAAGGAGUCUGCCAACCGGAACAAGUCAGAAGACCUGCCAUACUUU
rnacentral:ncRNA from 1 species